GUUGAGUGUGGCUGGUGGCCCCACUGCCCUGAGAAAAGCCCUGACUUCUGGAGAUUAGGUUUUCAGGACUGUCAUGACAGCUGUCACUCUAAGUGUGUCAGCUUGUCACAUGUAACUGCGUGACUGGACCCUCCUCCUGCGUAAACUUCUGGUUUAUCCAGAACUCUGAGUCAUACUUUGACAGUCAGUUCCCUCUUCUUCAUGGAGAACUUCUUGUGAUCUGUUCUGCAGAAAAAGCCCCGAUGGAGUUCAUGGCUUUGCAUGGCCCAGAACAAGCUUGCUCCUCAUGUCACCAUAGAGGACAUGAAGCAUUGCCUUACCUCACAGGUGAGAGGAGCCUUCAUUGAGAGAAAUAAAUCAGGGAAGACAGGGAUCUCUGCAUUGAUGAGCUGCAUAAACGCUGCAAGUAGAGUGCAGACUGUGGCUCAAAAGGAACCUUCUGGGUUUGCGACCAGAAUCAUGCUCCAAGGGGCCAUUGAGGACAUCAUUAGUGAUUUGACCUACCAUCCAGCCUCACGUCUACAGAGUGCAUCUGAGGUAGUGGUGGAAAUCGUGACCAGUCUGAUUCUCAGCAUUGGAGCCAACCCUGUAAACAAAGACGCCUCUGAGGGAGAGGGAUCUACCAACAUGGCACUGGUCGACCUGAUAAUGUGGGUGGGGAUCUCUGUGCUGCAAGACCUUUCUGGUAGCCUGCAGAUCACAGAUGCGUUCAAUGAUAUGAAGCAGCUACAGAUCCUCUACUCCAGGCCUGUGGGCGUCAGGAUUGUGCAUGCCAUACUUGAUGACCUGCUGAGUGUGGCUGGUGGCCCCACUGCCCUGAGAAAAGCCCUGACUGCUGGAGAUUAGGUUUUCGGGACUGUCAUGACAGCUGUCACUCUAAGUGUGUCAGCUUGUCACAUGUAACUGCGUGACUGGACCCUCCUCCUGCGUAAACUUCUGGUUUGUCCAAAACUCUUGAGUCGUAAGUUCCCUCUUCUUCUUGGAAAACGUCUUGCGAUUGGUUCUACAACCCUGCACAGCAUUGUGACCAAACUGCUAGGAAAAAUAUACUCUGAUGCACCAAGUGAGGAUGCCACACUCAUCCUUAAGGACUGGCCCUUUCUGGAUGAUCUGGAGAACCACCUGUCUGCUGUCCUUGGAAUAUCAGUGGCCAGUGAAGAAACACAGGCCAACUUCCACUUGAAACCAGCAGAGGUGAAAGAGAUUGUCUCCUCUAAGAGCCAAAUGGUGUCCAGAGACAUCACCUGUCUGAUUGUGAGAGCUAUGAAGGUCUUUCCCAGUGGCUACUGUGGAAGAUACCCUGUGAGACAUGGUGACUGGGGAGCCACUGCAGAGUGGAUGAGCACAACGCUGUGAACGACUGGACCCUAAUGUCCACUGGAACUGUUCCCAAUGCCCUCUUUAUGCACCUCAUUGACACAUUUGUGUAUAACAUCUUUGCAAUUGACCCUGUCAUGACAGUGAAUGGUGAAGAUGUGAGGAAGCACUUUUGUUGGCACGUCAACUUUGGGUUGUUACCCAAGACAAGUUCUCCAAAGCUCCAAAGAGCAAGGCUCUCCUGCGAGCCUUGAAAAAAAUGACCAGAUUGUGAAGAAAACAUAGGCCAGGUUGACUGAGCUGGUAGAUAAGCUCUAUGUUGCAGCAUUCCCUGCAAACCAACUUUCUAUUGAUGCCUUUAUGGAGGACAAGGAGCUGUGCUGAUGUCACCGAAAUGGUUGUAGAAAAGUUGAUGUCACUGGACCCAAUCAGUGUUCUCCGAUCCCAUGGUUGUUGGAUCAGAGUUCAUCAGUGAAAGAGUAAGCUCUCUGUGAAUACAAUUAGUUUGUCACACAAAUGCAGUGAGCUACAACUGUAGUGUAAUUUGUCUGUUUACAGCGUGGAGGAGCAGACAUUUCUGCCUCAUCAUGUACACUUUGUAGAUCAUUGACACAGGAGGACCUCUCAAGUGGGUAAACAAAUCAAUUGUACACCCUCUCGAAAGAGUAUUGUAGAUGGAGGUGUAUGCUAAAAAUACUUCUUCCUAUCUUUUAGUUUACCAUAAAUUUACCAAUAACUGAGGGUUCCUCCACCGUGUUUGGAGGGCAGGGAAGCGAGUCACCUGUGGCUGCUGUAGAUGUGAUAGCGCUAGACCAAGCCUGGACUAAUAAACCGUCAUGUGCAAGCCCUGCCUUUUUCAAAAUGCCUAUGUCGGUUAUUUCUUCACUAAAAACAUUGUAUCGAUAUGACUACAUUGUUUAUUCAUUAGACCUACCUGUCACUCAUUAUUUUCAGCUGUCAUGUUUUGAGGUGAAACUUUGAUUUGAUACAUAUUGGCACAGUGUAUAGUAGACCUAUGCUGCUGACAAAUAAAGCAACAUUUCAUGAAAACAACAGAUAGCUAAGUGUGUGACUAUUUUCAUUAGCUCUAAAAGCAUCACUACACACUACACAGCAUGAUAGAGGAUCAUCAACAUCAUAGUCAUCGGGAGCAUAAAAAGUGUUGGGGUCUUAGUGGAGACAAUUGAGGAAGCGGCUAUAAAGGCCAUGAAGUGCGGGUAAGUUGGCGGACAGGAAAAAAGGAGAAAAGUGGAAUAUGUUUUGAGUGUUGGAUCACACAGAACUUUUGUAAGAGCUAUAUAAGGAAAUUGAAAGUGACGAGAAUGAGGAUGAAUUAACUGCGGUGGCAGGUGCGGUGAAGAC
rnacentral:lncRNA from 8 species